UGAGGAAUAUUGGUCAAUGGGCGCGAGCCUGAACCAGCCAAGCCGCGUGAGGGAUGAAGGUACAGAGUAUCGUAAACCUCUUUUGUCAGGGAACAAAAACAGUGACGUGUCGCUGACUGAGUGUACCUGAAGAAAAAGCAUCGGCUAACUCCGUGCCAGCAGCCGCGGUAAUACGGAGGAUGCGAGCGUUAUCCGGAUUUAUUGGGUUUAAAGGGUGCGUAGGCGGCGGUUUAAGUCAGUGGUCAAAGCCCGGGGCUCAACCCCGGCCCGCCAUUGAAACUGGAUUGCUUGAGUUGGAGAGAAGUAUGCGGAAUGCGCAGUGUAGCGGUGAAAUGCUUAGAUAUUGCGCAGAACUCCGAUUGCGAAGGCAGCAUACCGGCUCCAUACUGACGCUGAGGCACGAAAGCGUGGGUAUCGAACAGG
rnacentral:rRNA from 1 species